GAUGAACGCUGGCGGCGUGCCUAAUACAUGCAAGUCGAGCGAACGGACGAGAAGCUUGCUUCUCUGAUGUUAGCGGCGGACGGGCGAGUAACACGUGGAUAACCUACCUAUAAGACUGGGAUAGCUUCGGGAAACCGGAGCUAAUACCGGAUAAUAUUUUGAACCGCAUGGUUCAAAAGUGAAAGACGGUCUUGCUGUCACUUAUAGAUGGAUCCGCGCUGCAUUAGCUAGUUGGUAAGGUAACGGCUUACCAAGGCAACGAUGCAUAGCCGACCUGAGAGGGUGAUCGGCCACACUGGAACUGAGACACGGUCCAGACUCCUACGGGAGGCAGCAGUAGGGAAUCUUCCGCAAUGGGCGAAAGCCUGACGGAGCAACGCCGCGUGAGUGAUGAAGGUCUUCGGAUCGUAAAACUCUGUUAUUAGGGAAGAACAUAUGUGUAAGUAACUGUGCACAUCUUGACGGUACCUAAUCAGAAAGCCACGGCUAACUACGUGCCAGCAGCCGCGGUAAUACGUAGGUGGCAAGCGUUAUCCGGAAUUAUUGGGCGUAAAGCGCGCGUAGGCGGUUUUUUAAGUCUGAUGUGAAAGCCCACGGCUCAACCGUGGAGGGUCAUUGGAAACUGGAAAACUUGAGUGCAGAAGAGGAAAGUGGAAUUCCAUGUGUAGCGGUGAAAUGCGCAGAGAUAUGGAGGAACACCAGUGGCGAAGGCGACUUUCUGGUCUGUAACUGACGCUGAUGUGCGAAAGCGUGGGGAUCAAACAGGAUUAGAUACCCUGGUAGUCCACGCCGUAAACGAUGAGUGCUAAGUGUUAGGGGGUUUCCGCCCCUUAGUGCUGCAGCUAACGCAUUAAGCACUCCGCCUGGGGAGUACGACCGCAAGGUUGAAACUCAAAGGAAUUGACGGGGACCCGCACAAGCGGUGGAGCAUGUGGUUUAAUUCGAAGCAACGCGAAGAACCUUACCAAAUCUUGACAUCCUUUGACAACUCUAGAGAUAGAGCUUUCCCCUUCGGGGGACAAAGUGACAGGUGGUGCAUGGUUGUCGUCAGCUCGUGUCGUGAGAUGUUGGGUUAAGUCCCGCAACGAGCGCAACCCUUAAGCUUAGUUGCCAUCAUUAAGUUGGGCACUCUAAGUUGACUGCCGGUGACAAACCGGAGGAAGGUGGGGAUGACGUCAAAUCAUCAUGCCCCUUAUGAUUUGGGCUACACACGUGCUACAAUGGACAAUACAAAGGGCAGCGAAACCGCGAGGUCAAGCAAAUCCCAUAAAGUUGUUCUCAGUUCGGAUUGUAGUCUGCAACUCGACUACAUGAAGCUGGAAUCGCUAGUAAUCGUAGAUCAGCAUGCUACGGUGAAUACGUUCCCGGGUCU
rnacentral:rRNA from 1 species